rnacentral:hammerhead_ribozyme from 1 species
ACCCAAGUGACGAGUCCCAAAAUAAGACGAAACGCGCGUCUCGUAU